rnacentral:tRNA from 1 species
GCCUGGCUAGCUCAAUUGGUAGAGAAUAUGCCUUUUAAUCUGAGAGUCCAGAGUUCAAGUCCCUAGCCAGGUA